rnacentral:rRNA from 1 species
AGAGUUUGAUCCUGGCUCAGAUUGAACGCUGGCGGCAGGCCUAACACAUGCAAGUCGAACGGUAACAGGAAGCAGCUUGCUGCUUCGCUGACGAGUGGCGGACGGGUGAGUAAUGUCUGGGAAACUGCCCGAUGGAGGGGGAUAACUACUGGAAACGGUAGCUAAUACCGCAUAACGUCGCAAGACCAAAGAGGGGGACCUUCGGGCCUCUUACCAUCGGAUGUGCCCAGAUGGGAUUAGCUAGUUGGUGAGGUAACGGCUCACCAAGGCGACGAUCCCUAGCUGGUCUGAGAGGAUGACCAGCCACACUGGAACUGAGACACGGUCCAGACUCCUACGGGAGGCAGCAGUGGGGAAUUUUGGACAAUGGGGGCAACCCUGAUCCAGCCAUGCCGCGUGUAUGAAGAAGGCCUUCGGGUUGUAAAGUACUUUCAGCGGGGAGGAAGGGGAUGUGGUUAAUAACCGCAUUCAUUGACGUUACCCGCAGAAGAAGCACCGGCUAACUCCGUGCCAGCAGCCGCGGUAAUA